UUAUUUUUCGUUUUUUAACUUGUAACAAAAGCCAAUGUGAAUUAAUAAAAGCACAUCUCCAUAACACAUUCUGGGGCGAAAAGUUUCUGUUCGAGCUGAUGCCGGCGCUGCCACCGUAAUAACCACACAGAACCAUGACAAAGAGUCGCUAACGUGGGAGGAGAAGGUUAAGGAUAUCCGGUUUUCAAACUGAAACAACAACUCAUUGUUUUAAUACUACAAAGCAUUUUCACUUAUACCUUUGGGGUACACCUUAUGCCUUGUAAAUUUACAUCGGAGGCGAAAGUUAUAUUAUAAUGGUGU